GGGGGUGGGGUCAGAUGAAGAACUCCUCUUUCCUCUUGUGCCCGUCGCUGCCAUUGAGGAAGGCUUCUCUCGCUUCUCCCUGCUCGUCCAAGCCGCUGGCCUCGUGGGUCAGGUAGGAGCCUGGGCAGCCGACAGCCCGCCACACCCGCCGCGGAGCCCCAGCCGUGCACUCACCUUUCUGUCGGACAGAGCACCAGACCAUGCCCACUAGCACACAUAUGAUCAGAAACACAAGUAGCGCCAGGAUGCCGCCCACGAUGGCGUAGGGAACCGACGUCUGGGCCUCCACCACCGCGCCAGGGUCUGCCAGGACAGCGUGCAGGGCCAGGUCAUUGUCCAGCCCCAGUCGCCUCCAGGCUCUUAAGCCAUUCUGCACACAUCCAGCCCUGCCCCUCGGAAUGCCGCAUCUGGCAGUGUGGCCGCCAGUUUACCAUCAGAGGGACCUCCAAAUAAGAGGACCUGGACCUGCCCCUUCCUUCCCCAGAGGCCGUCAGUCACCGGCCCAGCUCCCACCGGUCGCCAGCGCCGCGCCCCGGCCCUUCCACUGUCCCGGUGCUCUAGCCGCUGCCCCAGGACAGGGCCCGAGCUGCCUGUCUGCCCAGCCCUCGGCUCUCCAGAGCUCACCUGGGGU